GGAGAUGUGGCUCAGUGGUAAAGCAUCUGCUUGCUGUGUGGAAGGUCCCCGGUUCAAUCUCGGGCAUCUCCA